CAGAAUCGAACAAUAUCCGACUACUAUACUCUUAUGAGUACGAUCGCCUUCGUACUCAUAAAUCGUUUUCGAAGAUAGAGCUUCCGAAUCGAUGAUCCAUAUCGUUAAACAUUUUCUAGAACAUUUAAAACUUCUAGAAAUCAAAUUUCAUAAUUUUUCAAAAUCAUUUACCUUACGAUUAAAAGCUCACAAAAUUGACAAUUUUUAACGGCUGGUAUGAAAUAAUUGCUAGUUUAACGGUGCAAAAGAAUCGGAAUAGGUAUUAAACAAUAUCUAAGGAGUGUCCACGUCAGACACGCGCGUGUCCGACACGAACACGCGAGCCUGAUAGAAAUAUUCGUGAUACAUAGCUAGUACCGUCUAUGUCAAAAAGAAAUUUAAC
rnacentral:lncRNA from 1 species